rnacentral:rRNA from 1 species
UACGUAGGGGCAAGCGUUAUCCGGAUUUACUGGGUGUAAAGGGAGCGUAGGUGGCAAAGUAAGUCAGAUGUGAAAGCCCGUGGCUUAACUGCGGGAUUGCAUCAGAAACUGCUUUGCUAGAGUGCAGGAGAGGUAAGUGGAAUUCCUAGUGUAGCGGUGUAAUGCGUAGAUAUUAGGAGGAACAUCAGUAGCGAAGGCGGCUUACUGGACUGUAACUGACACUGAGGCUCGAAAGCGUGGGGAGCAAACAGGAUUAGAUA